rnacentral:rRNA from 1 species
AGUGAACGCUGGCGGUAGGCCUAACACAUGCAAGUCGAACGGCAGCACAGUAAGAGCUUGCUCUUACGGGUGGCGAGUGGCGGACGGGUGAGGAAUACAUCGGAAUCUACUUUUUCGUGGGGGAUAACGUAGGGAAACUUACGCUAAUACCGCAUACGACCUACGGGUGAAAGCAGGGGAUCUUCGGACCUUGCGCGAUUGAAUGAGCCGAUGUCGGAUUAGCUAGUUGGCGGGGUAAAGGCCCACCAAGGCGACGAUCCGUAGCUGGUCUGAGAGGAUGAUCAGCAAAACUGGAACUGAGAAACGGCCCAGACUCCUACGGGAGGCAGAAGGGGGGAAUAUUGGACAAGGGGCGCAAGCCUGAUCCAGCCAUACCGCGUGGGUGAAGAAGGCUUUGGGGUUGUAAAGCCCUUUUGUUGGGAAAGAAAAGCAGCAGGUUAAUACCCCGCUGUUCUGACGGUACCCAAAGAAUAAGCACCGGCUAACUUCGUG